AGUAAUACCACAGAACAGAAUUUUAGUCGGCCGCUCUGUUGAUUUCACGCAAAGUCUGAGAAGCAAAGCAUUAGAUGAGUGUGGACUUAGGUGAAGACUUCUUUAUUUUACCAACAGUCCUGCCUAAAAUGGAUCAGAAAGCGUCGAAGGCAGCAAAACCGGGGUCCCCGAGUGUGACCGAAGGACAAAGAAGGGAAGACGAAAGGCAAAGUCCGCCGCACCAUUCGGAACAAACUAGGGAACACGGAGCAAAUGUUGACGUGAGUAACAACGUCUCGGACAAUGGCAAACCUACAAACAUCGCACCUAGCCUUGGCAAUGAGGAUGAGGAAGGGGUCGGUACGUGUAAGGCCACUGACGUCGAUCUUCCUCAUGAUCAGGAAUCCUACGACAUGGCCUUACUAGCGCUGGAUCAGGGGAGAGACACUCAUGAUCAAGUCUUGGACGGCGGACAUGAAUGCUACAAUGACGGAGACGUGGUGGCGUUCUCAGAAACAGAAAAUGCAGUGACCCAAAUUACAAACCCAAGUCAAUUGAGCGGCCAAGGCAACAAGGUUAUCAACAUCGGGCCCCAUUCCACCGUCAAUAUCUUCCACGGAACAUCCGAUGAGCCUAGCACAGUGACCAACGUUGACAGUCCCUCAGAAGAUUUCCCCCUCGGCCAAUGUCAAGAUUCACUUAAGUCCUAUUUCAAGACAAGACUGAGCUACCUUCACCCUCUAGCGUGGAAUGAAACUUUCACCAUGAAGAUUGAGGACAUCUUCACGACUGUAGACCUCGUGACGCGAACACAACAAGGAGGGCACAUUGAACGGCGCGCCCUUCCCUCUACUGUCGACGCCUUGACUGCCAGACCCGAUUGUCCCCAGCCCCGGCGCAUUUUGAUCGAAGGUAACGCAGGGAUAGGGAAGACAACCGAAGUUUCCAAACUCGCUUUUGACUGGGCCGAGGGCAGGUCUCUGAUUCUGGAAAAGUAUGAUCUGGUUUUCCCGAUCGCGCUGCGGAAGGUUGAUGAGUCCCAGUCCAUUACAGAGUGUAUCUUUGACCAACUCCUACCAGAAGAUGUGCCGUUUCAGGAGUCGGACUUGGAAACGUACUUGAAGGGGAAUGACCGAGUCUUGAUCAUUCUCGACGGCGUCGACGAGUGGGCGAGGCAUGAAGGGCAUGACGUCACCAAAGUUCUGACUGGUAAGGUUCUCCGAGACUGUUGCCUGAUGGUGACCACCAGACCUUCCCACACCCCUCAGCUGCAUAGUAUGAUGUGUCCGGACACACAGGUGGAGAUCACGGGCUUCAGUCAGGACAACAUCCGUACUUACGUCCACAGGUUCUUCACGGGAGACGAGACCAAGGCAGCGGCCUUAGUCAGUAAAAUGGACUCCUCCCUAAUCCCCACAGGCAUUCUGGCAACACCAAUACUGCUUUUGUUGACCUGCAUGAUGUGGGAAGAGAAGCAGGAUUUGGUGUUUGGAGGUCGAAUCUUUCCCCUUUAUGAUGAGCUAGUUUCCUUCACAAUAAGGCGACAUUGCGUUAGGAACAACAUUGGUUCAAACCAAGGCAUUCCUGACAACAUCAGAGAUGCGUUAUUGUGUGCCGGGGCUCUUGCUUUCAAUGGCUUGUUGGAGAAUAGGCUAGUAUAUAGCAAAGAAGACGUUGCCAAGUAUUGUGGUGAAGAUAGUUUGCAGGAGCUUGUGUUGUUGGGGAUUCUUCACAGACAAGAAAGUCCCUCCAGACUCAACCCUUCUGACCAGUUUUCCUUCUCCCACAAGACGAUGCAGGAGUAUUUCGCAGGGUUGUAUUUCGCAAAAAGGCUUCAGGACGAGACAACAGAAAAGUCCAUUCUGAACACAUACCUGACAACGGCUCAAAGUGUGCGUGACUUGGAAAACGUCAUCAUGUUUGCUUGUGCGAAGUUAGGGCUUGAAGCAGAUGUUAUAUUGGCUCACCUUGUCAAACUCCACCAAGAGGAGGUAGAACAUUUGUCUGAUACCUCCAGUGGUGGGUAUCCACACUACAUGGAGUAUUUUCUAUAUUCUAAAUGUCGGAUUGCAGGGAAUGAAGGAGAGUUUUUUAGUCCUUCUAAGUUAGCUUUCUUUCACCUCUAGACAUACAUGGAGAUCGCAUUGUUGUGCUUCUACGAGAGUGGUUGUCUCUCGCAGGUAGAGAACAUCUUUCCAACCAAAGGUGUUAUUCACUUUUCAAAUGUAGGCCCUCAUGUUUACAACGCCUUGGAACAUGUUCUGAAGAACAUUCCACCUCGAUCCCUUAGAAAUGUAACAACCCUCAGGUUGAUGGGUACCACGGAAUGCUUUGUCAGUCCUGUCAUUGACUACCUGAGGAUGAUGAAUUUGUCUGAGUUGGACCUUUAUCGUGCUUGUCUUGGAGGUCAUGACCCCAACACAGGACCUUGUGCCCGCCUGGCACAACAGUUACCUUACCUAACAAGUUUGAGGAAGCUUGUGUUGUGUUUGAACAAUCUUGUCUGCUCAGAUCUACUUGUAUUAUUACCUUCCUUGAAGAUGUUGGUGGACCUUGAAUGGUUGAACCUCUUUGGUAACAAACUAGCAGGUUGUGGAAAGGAAAUCUCAGAACUGCCGUGCUCCUUACGGAACCUCAAAGUCCUGAACGUGUAUGAGUGCAAACUUAGCCUGGAGGAUGUUCUACAAAUAGGUAAGGGCAUCAUAUCUUAUUCAUCUCAUUGUUUUACAUCGAUACUUUUCUAUAAUUCCUUAUUCACUUGCUUGGUAUAAAAUUGAUGAAACUUGUUGUUAUUGAUCAAAACUACUUAAUAACCCUCCCAAUUAGUAAUUUUAUAUCAUUAGAAUGCAGAUAAUAUAAAAAGUAGUCUCUUACUUACAUAAUUCAUAUCACGUGUAAAAUCACAUGUUGAAUAACAAAUAUCCUUUUUCUUCUUGCGAUGUUUGCUCAUUAAGUAUGUUUUGAAAUCAAAAUUUACAUUGACGGUUUCCAAGUAUCAUCCCAAGUAUCAAGACAAUCCAUCCAAGCCUCCUAGAGUUAUGUUAGCAGACGGAUAGACACACACAAACAUGAACAGUCCAGACAACAUAAGUCAUAACAUUCUUGGCGAAGGUUCUAAUACUGUUGUUUUCAAUUUAACACACAGCUACUGCAGUAGUGCAGCACUGCUCAAAGAUGGAAGUGUUUGAGUGGAGAGCCAAUGUGACAGGUCAGGAGAACGAAAGAAAAGUUCGGGACAUUCUCAGGGGUUUAAAGUCAUGACCUAUAGGAGUUCACGAAAAUCCGCUGUCAGGAAUCAGUUACUCAUGGUGAGCCCGGAGCUCCCUCCUCAUCAGGCUCAUACACACCAUUCAUCAGUCUAGCACCGGACAUGCUCAAGGCAAACGUAAACUCCAAGCACUAACCAAGGACGUUUUAUAACGUCCUUGCUCUAAAUUGACAGUCUUUCACUUAAUGUUUUCUGCGGCUGAAUAGGCUGUUUUCAUGUACAUUUGAGUUACAAAUCAUGAAGUUAUUUGGGGUGACAGAUGUUAAAGUCAAGGUCCUCAUCUACUUCGGUGGAUGAACAUUAUAAUCAUGGAACACAAAUCUGAGAUAUUGAAUACCCUUACGAUUUUUGCCAUGCCAUUUCUGUAACAGAAGACGAGAGCACAAGCAAACAGAAGACAAAGAGCUCUUGUCCUUGUAAAUGGUAUAUUCAUUGCCAUAUGCGGAUUGCAUCACAUGCCUUAUAGCUGAAUGUUUUGAUCAGAAUAUUGUUGGAAUCAAAAUGUUAUCCAUGAGCUGUCGAGUUAUCACCAUUUUUUAUGAUACUGGAUAACUCUGUCAUUAGCUGUUCUACAUAUACAUAGUGACUUUGUAUAAGGAUAUGACUGUAUGUAAAAUUUUACACACUUUAACUGUAAAGAUAACCCUUAGUAACUUUUCCCUAGAUAUAAUUGCAAGUAACAACCGAACAGCACUCGACUAUCAAAUAAUGAAGAAAAGCAGCAAAUAUUGAAACAAACUACAUGUGUGUUGUCAAGAGAGUAUUAGAAAACUGAAAUGGAAGGUGUUUAUUGAUGUCAGAGACUAAUGUAAAUGGACAAGUAUCAGAGUGUGAAUGGGAAUACCAUGAUUAUGUCAUAUAAUCCCCUUCCAUUGUAUAUAUGUGCACCUUUAGAACAAUUACUAAUAUAUUAGAUAAUCAUAAGCAAACCAAGGAAAAAAACAAUACAAAUGUA